rnacentral:tRNA from 1 species
GCAACUUUGGCCGAGUGGUCUAAGGCGUUGGACUUAAGCCCCAAUCACGAAAGUGGCGUGGGUUCGAAACCCUCAGGUUGCA